ACUCCUACGGGAGGCAGCAGUGGGGAAUAUUGCACAAUGGGCGCAAGCCUGAUGCAGCCAUGCCGCGUGUAUGAAGAAGGCCUUCGGGUUGUAAAGUACUUUCAGCAGUGAGGAAGGUGGGGUAUGUUAAUAGCAUAUUCAUUUGACGUAGCUGCAGAAAGAAGCACCGGGCUAACUCCGUGCCAGCAGCCGCGGUAAUACGGAGGGUGCGAGCGUUAAUCGGAAUUACUGGGCGUAAAGCGCAUGCAGGUGGUUUGUUAAGUCAGAUGUGAAAGCCCGGGGCUCAACCUCGGAAUUGCAUUUGAAACUGGCAAACUAGAGUACUGUAGAGGGGGGUAGAAUUUCAGGUGUAGCGGUGAAAUGCGUAGAGAUCUGAAGGAAUACCGGUGGCGAAGGCGGCCCCCUGGACAGAUACUGACACUCAGAUGCGAAAGCGUGGGGAGCAAACAGGAUUAGAUACCCUGGUAGCUACGAGU
rnacentral:rRNA from 1 species